GGAGAAAUACCCAAGUCCGGCUGAAGGGACUGGUCUUGAAAACCAGCAGGGCGUUUGCGCGCCGCGGGGGUUCGAAUCCCUCUUUCUCCGCCA
rnacentral:tRNA from 1 species